rnacentral:hammerhead_ribozyme from 1 species
AUCCAGCUGACCAGUCCCUAAUAGGACGAAACGCGCAUCCUGGAU